rnacentral:rRNA from 1 species
GACGAACGCUGGCGGCGCGCUUAACACAUGCAAGUCGAACGGAAAGGCCUGCUUUCCCUUGUGGAUUGCGGGUACUCGAGUGGCGAACGGGUGAGUAACACGUGAGUGAUCUGCCCCCAACUUGGGUAUAAGCCUGGGAAACUGGGUCUAAUUCCCGAUAGGACUGCAGGGGGGUGCCUGUGGUGGAAAACGGUGUUCUAGUGGCUGGGGAUGAGCUCGCGGCCUAUCAGCUUGUUGGUGGGGUAAUGGCCUACCAAGGCGGCGACGGGUAGCCGGCCUGAGAGGGUGGACGGACACAUUGGGACUGAGAUACUGCCCAGACUCCUACGGGAGGCAGCAGUGGGGAAUAUUGCACAAUGGGCGGAAGCCUGAUGCAGCGACGCCGCGUGGGGGAUGACGGCCUUCGGGUUGUAAACUCCUUUCGACCGCGAGGAAGCCACCUGGUUGGAAGGGUGGUGACGGUAGUGGUAGAAGAAGCACCGGCUAACUACGUG